AAAGAAGUAGAGGUGGUAACUUCUGUUGAAGAAUGAGAGCAGAGCUACAGUUUACUUCUUUGUCCAAGGGCAUCCUUCUGAUUUGGUGGUGACAGACUUAGGUGGGGAGAGAGCAAGAAAUGAACAGAACUGGACACUUGAAUUUGGACAGACAAACAACCCAGCCACCUUUCAGUGUGGCUGUGUCAGUAUCGGAAUGAAAUGAACAUGACCCCCUCCUGCAGGGAAGGGAACACACAGUAAAGUUUGUGUAGCAAUUGGAUUUAUAUCUUGGUUAAAUAGAUGGUCAAAAUGAGAACUGAUGAAGAGAGAGACUGAGCUUAUAUCUGAACUGGAGAGAAACUCCAAACACCCCAGCAACCUGCGUUCUGUAUGUUACUGUGUACUUGUGUAUUUGCCUAUGAACAGUUGCAUGUAUGGAUAGUUUAUGUGGUUUCCAAGAGAUAAAUGAGAAUGGUGAUGAUAUUCUUUAGCAUUUGUGUUUAUAAUUUACAAAGUACUUCCAUAUACAUUAUCUGAUUUUCUGAGCAUUUAGAAAUGUUUGCAAAUUGAACAAAUUAAAUAAAUUUGUUGAGACAUU